UACGUAGGGUGCGAGCGUUGCCCGGAUUUAUUGGGCGUAAAGGGCGCGUAGGUGGCCCGCUAAGUCAGACGUGAAAUCCCUCAGCUCAACUGGGGAACUGCGUCUGAGACUGGUGGGCUUGAGUGCAGGAGAGGAACGCGGAACUCCAGGUGUAGCGGUGAAAUGCGUAGAUAUCUGGAGGAACACCGGUGGCGAAGGCGGCGUUCUGGACUGUUACUGACACUGAGGAACGAAAGCCAGGGGAGCAAACGGG
rnacentral:rRNA from 1 species